CAGCCAUGCAAUGAGCACAAAGCGAACUAUUCUUUCGCCUUUUACUAAAGAAUACCGUGUGCUCGUUGCUUUCAAAUGGCAUACUCCUAUUUUUGGAGAGUUCUUUUCCUUGUGAAAAGAC
rnacentral:snRNA from 1 species